CAGAAAUGACGCAUGACGAAACCUUUGACCAUAACGAUUGUACGUCGCGCCGCUAAGGCCUAAGACUUACCCGUCUUCCGAAAGCGCCGUGGACGGAUGACAGCUGGACAGCGGAUCUGGACAGACUGAAUUUCGUCAACCUUUAACAGCUUAAGCUGACACACCGAUGGAAAGGGCUCAUUCUCUGGUUUAGAAAAAAAAUGCACAAGACCUACAGCAAAGAGACAAAGAGAGCUAACCACGAUGACUGUGCAGAACCAUGCGACAAGAGCCACAAACUGAAAUCCGUAAAAGUAGAGCAGAUGAGCUUCCAGUCACUCCCAAUAUGAUGUAGACCGUGAUUAUGAUUUUUCAUAAAAUUAGAAGACUCUGCAGCCACUAACCUUCAGAACUUCUGCAGUCUGUAGCUGAGGCAGGAAAGUGAAAAUGGUGAUGUGAAGCUAAUUUUGUCCCAGCCAACAUCUCAUCACAUCUCUCUCAUGGUGAAACACUUCUUAUUUCAAGUCACAGCUGCCAUUCCAGUAAGCUUUGUCUUCCAGUUUGAUCGUGCUAUUGA